rnacentral:rRNA from 1 species
AUUGAACGCUGGCGGCAGGCUUAACACAUGCAAGUCGAGCGGGGUGAGGUGCUUCGGUACUGAUCCUAGCGGCGGACGGGUGAGUAAUGCUUAGGAAUCUGCCAUUUAGUGGGGGACAACAUUCCGAAAGGAAUGCUAAUACCGCAUACGUCCUACGGGAGAAAGCAGGGGAUCUUAGGACCUUGCGCUAAAUGAUGAGCCUAAGUCGGAUUAGCUAGUUGGUGGGGUAAAGGCCUACCAAGGCGACGAUCUGUAGCGGGUCUGAGAGGAUGAGCCGCCACACUGGGACUGAGACACGGCCUAGACUCCUACGGGAGGCAGCAGUGGGGAAUAUUGGACAAUGGGCGGAAGCCUGAUCCAGCCAUGCCGCGUGUGUGAAGAAGGCCUUUUGGUUGUAAAGCACUUUAAGCGAGGAGGAGGCUACCUAGAUUAAUACUCUGGGAUAGUGGACGUUACUCGCAGAAUAAGCACCGGCUAACUCUGUGCCAGCAGCCGCAGUAACAC